CCUACGGGGGGCUGCAGUGGGGAAUAUUGGACAAUGGGCGAAAGCCUGAUCCAGCCAUGCCGCGUGUGUGAAGAAAGCCUUCGGGUUGUAAAGCACUUUCAGUGGGGAAGAAAGCCUUGGGGCUAAUACCCUCGAGGAAGGACAUCACCCACAGAAGAAGCACCGGCUAACUCCGUGCCAGCAGCCGCGGUAAUACGGAGGGUGCGAGCGUUAAUCGGAAUUACUGGGCGUAAAGCGCGCGUAGGCGGUCUGAUAAGCCGGUUGUGAAAGCCCCGGGCUCAACCUGGGAACGGCAUCCGGAACUGUCAGGCUAGAGUGCAGGAGAGGAAGGUAGAAUUCCCGGUGUAGCAGUGAAAUGCGUAGAGAUCGGGAGGAAUACCAGUGGCGAAGGCGGCCUUCUGGACUGACACUGACGCUGAGGUGCGAAAGCGUGGGUAGCAAACAGGAUUAGAUACCCUUGUAGUC
rnacentral:rRNA from 1 species